CACGUAGGGCGCAAGCGUUGUCCGGAAUUAUUGGGCGUAAAGAGCUCGUAGGUGGUUUGUCGCGUUGUUCGUGAAAUCUCACGGCUUAACUGUGAGCGUGCGGGCGAUACGGGCAGACUGGAGUACUGCAGGGGAGACUGGAAUUCCUGGUGUAGCGGUGGAAUGCGCAGAUAUCAGGAGGAACACCGGUGGCGAAGGCGGGUCUCUGGGCAGUAACUGACGCUGAGGAGCGAAAGCGUGGGGAGCGAACAGG
rnacentral:rRNA from 1 species